UUUAUCAUCUCCACUAAAAUCAUGGAGCUCAGUCCCACAGCAGCUUCCCCCGUACCAUCAACCUUGAACUACAAGAAAACAGGAUCUGAAGGCAGAGAUGAAAUCUGACUGAGAAGGCAGCAAGAGUCUGAUCACCUGAGCGUAGGGAGCUCCCUUUUCUCCUGAG